AUUCUUUGAUCUACACAGGUCUAAGAACUGGAAUUCUUAGUACCUACUGAACUCCCCCUAACAUCACUAUGGAAAUGGAAGGGGACCACACAAGACUGAGGUCCAGCACUCUACCUACUAUGCCACCUAGAUGCCCUAUGGAGGAGGAAAUGGAGAAUCUAAGAGGCAAAGUGAUCUACUGAAUGCCAUUAAGUUGGCAACUGAGACAGGGCCCUCACCCAGAAGGUGCCCAGUACACAUUUACUGACUAAUAGGUAAGUCAUUCUUUGUGUGCCUCUUGUCUGACCUCUCUAAAAUCAUGAUGGGGUUGCCUGUAUUUUUGAGAUAAUAAGACACUAAGGAUGUUUUGAGUGCCUGCUGUGUGAUAUUUGACAAAUUUGUUUUCCUGUAAUUUUCUACAAUUUCACAAGAAAUUACUUAGCCUUGAAAUGUUGAAAUAUUGUUUUUCUCACUGGAG
rnacentral:lncRNA from 1 species